rnacentral:miRNA from 1 species
GACUCCAUGCUACCAU